UACGAGAGGUCCAACCGUUAUUCGGAAUUACUGGGCUUACAGAGUUCGUAGGCGGCUCUACAAGUGAGGUGUGAAAGCCCUCGGCUCAACCGAGGAACUGCGCUUCAAACUGUAGAACUAGAGGGAGAUAGAGGUGAGCAGAACUGAUGGUGGAGCGGUGAAAUGCGUUGAUAUCAUCAGGAAUACCGGAGGCGAAGGCGGCUCACUGGGUCGCUUCUGACGCUGAGGAACGAAAGCUAGGGGAGCAAACGGG
rnacentral:rRNA from 1 species